rnacentral:rRNA from 1 species
UGGGGAUUUUGCUCAAUGGGCGAAAGGUGGUGCAGCCACGCCGCGUGCGUGAAGAAGGUUUUAGGAGUGGAAAACUGUUUUUGUGGGGAAGAAAACCUUGAGGGCUGUAACCGCCUGAAUGUAACGGAACAAUAAAGAACGGCCAACUCUAUUCCAGCCCCCGCGGUAAUUAAUAUAA